rnacentral:rRNA from 1 species
GACGAACGCGGGCGGCGUGCGUAAUACAUGCAAGUAGGACGCACAGUUUAUACCGUAGCUUGCUACACCAUAGACUGUGAGUUGCGAACGGGUGAGUAACGCGUAGGUAACCUGCCUAUUAGAGGGGGAUAACUAUUGGAAACGAUAGCUAAUACCGCAUAACAGUAUGUAACACAUGUUAGAUGCUUGAAAGAUGCAAUUGCAUCGCUAGUAGAUGGACCUGCGUUGUAUUAGCUAGUAGGUAGGGUAAUGGCCUACCUAGGCGACGAUACAUAGCCGACCUGAGAGGGUGAUCGGCCACACUGGGACUGAGACACGGCCCAGACUCCUACGGGAGGCAGCAGUAGGGAAUCUUCGGCAAUGGGGGGAACCCUGACCGAGCAACGCCGCGUGAGUGAAGAAGGUUUUCGGAUCGUAAAGCUCUGUUGUUAAGGAAGAACGAGUGUGAAAAUGGAAAGUUCAUACUGUGACGGUACUUAACCAGAAAGGGACGGCUAACUACGUGCCAGCAGCCGCGGUAAUACGUAGGUCCCGAGCGUUGUCCGGAUUUAUUGGGCGUAAAGCGAGCGCAGGCGGUUAGAAAAGUCUGAAGUGAAAGGCAGUGGCUCAACCAUUGUAGGCUUUGGAAACUGUUUAACUUGAGUGCAGAAGGGGAGAGUGGAAUUCCAUGUGUAGCGGUGAAAUGCGUAGAUAUAUGGAGGAACACCGGUGGCGAAAGCGGCUCUCUGGUCUGUAACUGACGCUGAGGCUCGAAAGCGUGGGGAGCGAACAGG